UUGAUCAUAAGACCAUACAAAAGCUUUCGUUUUAAAUUCUUUAAACAAAGUCAAUCCAUUAUUACGAACCCCACGUGCAAGAUUAAAGAUAUAAAUGAGUUACCAUAACAGUGUACACAAUGAAAUGGAAACUCAUUAUCCUGCCACAUUGUAAGUAUUUAGAAUGGAAUACAUAGCAUGAAUUUUUUUCGACCGAAAAACCCGUAGAGAGUUUUUGUAUAUUGCAUAUUUUAUCAUAAAUUGCUUUUGUAUUGUUUAUACUUAUAAUAAUCCUAAAAACAAUUUUUUAGAUUUACACAAUUUUUAACGAACCGCUCUUAAAUACAUAAUGUUUAGCAUUAUUAUUUUCUUGCAAUAAAAGUUAUGUAUUUAAGAAAUAAAAAGCAAUUUAAAAAAGUCACUGGUGUUUGAAUUUGUUUGUUUGCGUGAACAAAUCAUGUAAAGCACGAAAGGGCUUCUCAGUAAAUUUGAUCAAGUACCAACCAACUUCAUAUCCCGGUGAACUUUUUACCAUUGCUGUUUAUUACUUUAUAAUUUACGUUUGCAAAAGACAAAUCGUUUAGAACUGUUAAAAUUACCGAGCUUUUAUGUUUACAAUAAUCCAAGCGACAAGCGAUAAGCACGUGCUAUUAGCAUUGUGACGUUAUGAAAAAGUUUAUAAAGAAUUGAACGUUUUCGCUAUUCCAUAAGAAUAUAAUAUAUAUUAGGAAACAUGUUUGCAAAUGUAAAUAUUUUUCUUUCAUUAAAAAACAACUGAUGUUGUCCAUGGAUUAAUUUAUACGAAGUUUAUUUCUUGUUUGUUUUAAUUGCAGGGAAGUUACAUGUAUGAAUGCGUCAUUGCUGGUAAAUCUGCAGUAUUUGUUUAUAUAAUUAAUGCAAUGUACUUAAGACUGAAUUAUGUAAAUAAUUGUGUGAACUUAUAAUUAUGUUUAAUUAACUUGUCUAAUAAAUUACGUUAACGUC
rnacentral:misc_RNA from 1 species